rnacentral:rRNA from 1 species
UACGUAGGGGGCAAGCGUUGUCCGGAAUUAUUGGGCGUAAAGCGCGCGCAGGCGGUUUUCUAAGUUAGGUGUGAAAGCCCACGGCUCAACCGUGGAGGGCCACCUAAAACUGGGAGACUUGAGUGCAGGAGAGGAGAGCGGAAUUCCACGUGUAGCGGUGAAAUGCGUAGAGAUGUGGAGGAACACCCGUGGCGAAGGCGGCUCUCUGGCCUGUAACUGACGCUGAGGCGCGAAAGCGUGGGGAGCGAACAGG